AGUAAGUUCAAUGCACAGGUUGUUAGUUCUCUGUUGCAUAACCGAUUGUUUCUCUGAAGUAAGACCGCACCC
rnacentral:sRNA from 1 species